GAUAGGUGAGGGUGGGAAAGUGUAAUUGGUUGGUGGAAUUAAUUGGAGACCAAGAUCGAGUAAUCCCUCACGAGAUUCACUUGUCGACAUGUUCGAACUAAAAGAAGGUCGAUCAUGGGGAAGUUUUGAGUUUUUCUUGUGUUUUUCAUCUUGCUGUUGGAACCAAUUUAUUUUGUCACUUUUUGUCCGUGUCACUGAUUAGGUUUAUAUAUGAAAAAUUGGCAGAAAAUGAU
rnacentral:lncRNA from 1 species